rnacentral:rRNA from 1 species
UACGGAGGGCGCGAGCGUUAAUCGGAAUUACUGGGCGUAAAGCGCGCGUAGGCUGUUGUGUAAGUUGGGGGUGAAAUCCCACGGCUCAACCGUGGAACAGCCCUUGAUACUGCGCGACUUGAAUCCGGGAGAGGGUGGCGGAAUUCCAGGUGUAGGAGUGAAAUCCGUAGAUAUCUGGAGGAACAUCAGUGGCGAAGGCGGCCACCUGGACCGGUAUUGACGCUGAGGCGCGAAAGCGUGGGGGGCGAACAGG